rnacentral:misc_RNA from 1 species
GCACUUCAGCUUCAAUUUACCAGGCACCCGAUGCAUGGUAAUUAGUUUUCCUUUAAUUAGAUUAUCCAUAUGCUUACUUAUAUAUAUUUUUAAAAAAUUGUCUGCACAUUGUUCCUAUUUUAACAGUCUGUGCAUGUAAUUAUGUUACUUCCAUUGAAGAAAAACUUGCAAAUGAUCAUUGAAUUGAGCUGUUGCUCCUGUAAAAACACGAGUAUAAAUCUUAUCCUGUGUAUAAACUUUUACUGAAAAUUACAGUUUGCAGAACUUAUUUGUUACAUGUCCUUUGUUAGUGUCUACUUUGUUUCUCAAAAUCUUCUUGAACCAGAAACUCCCAGAGAUAGAGCAAUUAUAUCACCAUAGGAAAUGGAGCUAAGUUGCAAUGUUAACAUGUGAAGUCAGAGACAUGAUGAAAUUGUUUAUGGAUCUGCUUAUUGUGUGUUAAAUGCCAAGAAGCUUGUCUUAGUUAUGAAGUAAUGUAACCCUCCAAACUUGAGCCAAAGCCUUGAUGCCUCACUCUCAAUUUAUUUUUGUUUCUUUAUAAAUAUGAUAGGCAACGAACUUCCUUGACGUGGGGAAAAAAAAAUGAAAUGGACAUAAUAAUUUGUAGAUUUAAUUUAUAUAAUUUCUCUCUCAUUCAUAUUCUACACAGAAGAACCUUCUUAUCCUCUUACCACUAUUUUAUAACAAUAAGUUACCACUAUUUUAUACCAAUAAGUCUCAUGCUGCUGUUGGCCAAUUUAUACGACAUGGCUUCCAUGUGCAGACAGGUCUCUUUGUGAGUUGUGACGCAUGUAUAUCAGGUCUAGUAACCAACUUGUGCAGUUGUGCCACCAACUUAGGUUUAUACUAUAUGUAUAUUUCACUGACUUUGUGUUGAUAUUGCUUGUUAAUAUAUAUUAAAUAACUUCUACUCCAUUUCCUAAUUGUGAAAAUCCUGGAGGCUUUUCUAAUUUUCACUUAACCUGUUGCUCAUGAAUCAUCAGGGCCCCAAAGGCAGCUACAAUGA